GCAGUGGUUGUUCAGUAGUGGAAUUCUCGCCUUCCGUGUUGGAGACCUGGGUUUGAUUUCCAGCCAGUGCA
rnacentral:tRNA from 1 species